CUCCCUACGGGACGCAGCAGUGGGGAAUAUUGCACAAUGGGGGAAACCCUGAUGCAGCGACGCCGCGUGAGUGAAGAAGUAUUUCGGUAUGUAAAGCUCUAUCAGCAGGGAAGAAAAUGACGGUACCUGACUAAGAAGCCCCGGCUAACUACGUGCCAGCAGCCGCGGUAAUACGUAGGGGGCAAGCGUUGUUCGGAAUGACUGGGCGUAAAGGGUGCGUAGGCGGUUGUACAAGUUAGAAG
rnacentral:rRNA from 1 species